AUGAUUCAGCACCUCUAGACAACGAUUUGGGGCAAUCUGUUUUUCCAUCCAAGCCAGACUCUCAUCUCGAUAGAAGCUGCAGGAAUCAGAAUCCCAGCUUUCACAGAUGGCUGCCUCCUGGACCACCCAUCACCUAGAGACAUCCAGAGGCUGCCGUGGCUGGUGCUUUACAUCUUUCCAGUGGCAUCGGAGAGCUAAGGGAUCCAGCUCCACCUGGAGGCCAGUGGCUUGAGUUUGCCAAAGAAGACAAAUUCAUCCCCACAGAAAAGUGACCCAUUCCAGAACAGCACUUUUAAUUCCAGAUGACUCCAAAUGAAUGGACAGAACUGGAACUCUUAAUUUCUUCGGUGUGUUUUCUUUGUUAGGGAUGGGAGAUAACAUGAAAAUCAGAACAUCGUUAUAUCAAAUAGGAAAACUGUUAGUGUGCUAAUGUUGGUCAUCCAAAGUUACAUGGAAUGUGCAGGUCAAACCAAGGCACUCAGAAUUCCCUUAGACACAUUGCCUACUUUGAAGGCAGAUACGGCAUCCCAUGCAUUGAAGAUAGGAAAGGAAACAGAAGGGAAUUCAUAUGUGACAAAUACUGCCAGGUGUCUGCAUUACAUGAUACACUUUUCAUACAGUAUCUCUCAUUCCCAAACAACAUUGCAAGGUUUGCUAAUAUUACUCCAAUUUUACAAUGAAAACUACCAAAGAUAAUUGUCUCUGGCUAUGCAAUUACAAAGGUGGUGUACUGGAAACCAACAAAGGGGCUGCUAUUGACAAUAUACCAGAUCAGUCUUGCUCCCCAAACUGCAGUUUUUCAAACUUCAUGAAAUGAAGUUUAACCACCGAUGACUGAAAUAAGAGACUGGUCACCAUGGUGUCUUGACUAAGAAAAAAGAAAGAGAAGUCUUGGUUACAAACCAACCCACUGGGUUGACCAUCACAAAAACAGAAACAUUUGUGACACUUUGAAGCAACUGAAGGAACAUUCUAGAAUGCUUGAAUGAAUUGAUACAUGGAUCUAACAGGACUCUACCCUUGCAUCAUCCUUGACAAGUUAUUCAAACUUGGAUGAAGUGAGUGAUUAACAGAGUCCACCACAUGGGCCUCCCCACUGGUCAAGUGGACUGUUUCAUAUUCCAAGCACGGGUUCCUCUGUGAGUUGGCUACUGAUGUGUGCAAGAGCAAACUAACUCAAGUCUUAAGGCAAAUUAAGUGGAAUAUGAUAUGUGGAGAUAAUAAAAGCAGGCUGGGAAGAAUAUUUAGCAGUUCCAUCACUUGCUGUACAAACAAGAAGACUACAGUUUGGAUCCCCAGGACACACAUAAACGGCAGUGGGCGCAGCAUCCAACGUGUAAGUCCAGCCUUGUAAGGCAAACAUAAGGUAUCUCUGGAGCAAGCUGGCUGGCAAGACUAGCCACAUUCUCACCAGCCGGAUUGGUGAGCUCUGGGUUUGACUGAGUCCCCUUGCCUCAAUGAAUCAAGUAGAAGAGCAAUAAAGGCUGAUUCCCAACGUCAGCCUUGCUUUUACAGGCACCCACAUGCACCUACACCUGCAUACGCAAGAACCCUCACACACAUACGUAUUCGAAGAAAGAAAUUCUAAAAUAACCAAGGUUGUGAUGAUACCAUUAAUAAGGACAUUGAUAUGACUAUAUUUAUCAAGGCGGUUAGCACUGUGUGACUCAGUUUCCUCUGCUUUAAAAUGGGGGGAAGGUAAUACUUCAAGGGAUUAUGACUAUCUGCAGAGCACUGUGAAUGCUACCUGCUAUGUGGUCUCUCUACACAGGCUGAAUUCACUCUUAAUUCCAUCAUUCUGUGGGCAUGGUCAUUUCUGCGAUUCAACUAAGAUUAAGCUUCAAUAUUGUUAGCAAUGCCCACUUGAAUAGCUCUAAAUUUAUCCUAAUUGUAAUGAUCAUUUUUUCACUCGUGAUGGAGUCAGAGUAGAUGUAUAAGUAAAUAGGAAAUUAUCCUUUAAAGACUGCUGGUUUCUAGCUGAUGUGUAAAUUGGCACACACCUAGUAAAUGGUGUUAAAAAGCCUAAAACACAAAUGCCCUCUACCCCAGUGAUUUCCCAACUGUGAAUUUAUCUUAUGGGAACACUCAGGAUGGUGUGAAAAGAGGUGCAUAAGAUUCUUAAUCAAAUUUAUUUAUAAUAUGGGGGAAAAGAGACUUAAUGUUCAACAAUAAACGACUAGUUAGGUAGAACAUAUAUCUUUCUGUGGUGGAAUAUUGUAUAGACAUUAAAUAUUGUGUUAUAGAAAAAUAUAUCUUGACAGACAAAUGUACACAGUACACCAACCAGUAAAAAUACACUACAAAAUACUGUAAAUGCAUAAAGCAGUUGGUUUGUGAUAUAUCAAUGCAAUUUUUAAUGUGUGUGGUAUGUUUGUGUGUGUAGUAUAUGCCACACAUGUGGGGGUGCCCACAGAGCCCAGAAGUAAACAUCAGAUCCCUUAGAGCUGGAGCCUCUGGCACCUGUAAGAUACCUGCUUUGGGUGCAGGGAACAGAGCUCAGGUCCUAUGGGAAGAGCAUCUAGUGCUCUUAACUGCUGAACUGUCUCUCCAAGCCCCAUUAAUGCAAAAUUUUUAAAUGAAACUUAAUACAUUCUCAAAACUUCUCUAAACCUAAUCUACUCAGGGCAUGCAUCUUAACCAUCUUUCUAAGCCAUGGUCUGGUUCAGUGAUUCUUUUGGUAAUUCAAUGUCGGUUUUUAAACUUUUCAUCACUCUGUGAAUGUUCUGUCAAAAUACGAUGUUAUUACAUUGGUCACAGUUCGUAGUCCCAUGCUUUCCCCAACCAACACUGUCUAUGCACCUUUGUUCAUUGCAAGGAAGAGUGGCGAAUCGUCCUUCUCAGAGGAAAUGAGUUGUGGGGAGCUGGCGCUAUCUUCUUCCAUGUCAUUUUAUUCCUAUGGCUUCUGUUGCUGGUCUCCGUGUGGCUUUGUGUGAUUUCCAGAGCCUGUAUUUAGCUCCACAAGACAGCCCCUGCUGAGCACUUCUUUCCCAUCGAGAGGCAGCUGUGCAUCCUGAUGGUCCCCUCCUUGGACGCUGUAUUCCCAGAAAGCCUCUCCUGUGCCCUGUGAGCCAUAGAAAACCAGGGAAGGAUGUCCACCCUCCUCCUUCACAAGCAUGCUGUAGGAUCACUUUAUACCACACCGGCAUAAAUCAUUAGACCAAACCUUUUGCCUUCUGAAAUAACCUGAGGAUCAGGCUUCUACAAAACACGAUGAACAUAUUAAACAGCCAGAAGGCAAAGGAGGAGAUGGAAUAGGAUACAGCAGGAUGGCAUGGGAGGGUGUGGCAGAAGGGGGACAGGUUGGUCAAGCUCCUGAGUCAUCUCAGACAGCCAUCUUCAGAGCCCUUAAGGACUCCUUCCUUUUAGAAGAAUUAGUUUCAUGUAAUGUGUACUCUUUCCUGCCAGUUGCCCGGGUCCCACUGCUGUCUCAGUCCCCAAAUAACACUCAAGACACUAUAUCGGCUAACUCUGACUUAAUUAUUAACCCAUAACUGCUGAUCUGAGUAUUUCCACGUGGUCUUCUCUUACUGGAGAAAGGAUAUUGACCUCUUCUCUCACAUCCUAAUUGAUGACUGACUGUGCGUCUGUUUCCCAGAAUCCUCCUCGACUCCUAGUCUCACCUAUCAUGCUUCCCUAUUGGCCAGCACUACUUUAUUAAUCAACCAAUAAGACAAAUAUAUACACAGAAGGACUUCCCCGUCAGUUUCGUUAAAACAUAUUUACAUAAUAUAAAAUGUACCUUUAUAAAUGUGUCAUUUGAUAAUAUUAAUAAAUUCGUUUAGUGCCAGGCAGUGGUGGUGCAUGCCUUUACUCCCAGCACUUGGGAAGCAGAGACAGGCAGAUCUCUGUGAGUUCGAGGUCAGCCUGUCUCAGAAAAACCCUAUCUUGAAAAACAAAACAACAAGAAAAAAUUUAUUUAGUGACAUAAUCAUCAUACUCCACGUAGAGAACACUUCAUUGGUAAAAAAUCUCCCCUCUGGGAGUGCCAGCCUACAAUCCUAUGGCCAGAGAGUCUGGGAAACAGAAACUACAUUUAGUGGCUGGUUAAGUACU